rnacentral:lncRNA from 1 species
GUUUGUUAUAAAUUAUGCUCUAUUGGUCGUUUUUAUUUUCUACCAAUCUUUACUUCUGUGACAGUGAGAUAAUAUGAUGUCUUUACUGAGCUAGUGUAGCUCAUUCCUUACUUAACCAUUUCAGAUCAGGAAGACUUGGUUCCCGAGCCCGUCCUACAGGAAGACAGCGAGUAGAUGCCUAAAGAUUUCAUAGUUUUAUUUAUAACAUUCAUCUAUCGUAUUUACUUUAUUUAGUUUAUUUUUUCAUAUGUUUAGUACGUUUG